rnacentral:lncRNA from 1 species
UCUAUUUUGCUGGAGAAAGAAGCCAAAUCUGUGAGUUGCUUAUGGGUCAAAAUGAAGUCAGCAUACAUCUAACAAAAAAUAGACAAAGAUAAACUAUGAUUACUGCACUAUUAUAUAGUACAUUCGACAAAUAUUCCAAUCCAAAUGAAGUUAUUUGAAUAAGGCAUAACAUGCUAGUAAAAAUCACUAAAGAGCAUAAUCCACAGGAUCAUGUAGAAUUUGCACAAUUUAUUUUUUUUCCACAAGCAGCUUUACAAGUAAUUCUUGGUGAGCAAGAUCUAUUACACCAUGCCAAGACUAAGCACUUAGGCUGAUAAAAUACACAACAGUCAGUAAUAAAUGGAAAAGUAGAAGAUGACUGGUGUGCUGAUGUGACAUGCAAAAGUUCAUUGUAUAUGGUGUUGUCUUGCUCAAUAUGGCAUCCAGAGUGGAAUAUUUUUGAGAACUUUAUACUGGACAACUACCAUAAAAGUUACAACACUACAGAUGUUUCUGGUUUCAGCAUUUAAAUUCUAGACGGUGUAGACUGACUGAUCCCAGCUUCGACACCAGUGUCUAGACCUUUAUGUACUAGACCUAUAGCAGCUGCAAUCACUUGACAGUAUUUGUUAGUCAUUCAUAGCAGAAUAUUUGUAAUUACAUAACAAUAUUUGUUACCCAUGUUUUAGACUAAUUGUUACUAUUACCAAGUAAUAACACAGUGAUAUUGCUAUUUCGAGGUAACAACAGAUACAAAGAUUGUUAAACCAUGUGAUUCCACAAUCUUAAUAUGACAGAUCAAUCCUGUGGUCUAAAUGCUAGUAAAUCAUAAAAGAUACAAAGAAUCAAUGAAUCAUAAUGAAACAAAAUCUUAAAAAUUAACAUUGAUCACCAUAACAUAUAAUUUUGGCCAAUGUAAGUCUGGAGAAGGGCAUAUUCAUAGUCUUUCUUUCAUAUCCAACAAUUGCUUUGUCUUGUAACCAAAAGCUUAAAAGGAAAAUGAGAUCUAAAGCCUCAAAGAAUCCCUUCUCCCACUCCUUUCAUCCCAGAUAUUGAAUUGGCAGACCUGAGUAGGUAUUAACUUAAGCAUCUAUUCAUACAUAUCUAAAGCUGUCAAUGAUCACUGUUGGUUUGUAAGUAGUUUUCAUAAUAUAUGUUAUUAUUUUCUUGGGUUUAAGCUCAGUUGUGCAAAUGAUCCUACAUAUUACUUCUGUAGUUCCACCUCAAAUAAAUAAAGACAAGCUGGAACUGAUCAAAACAGAGAGUACCAGGGGAAAAUGUAACCCAGAGAUGGAUACACCUAAUGUUCUUCACUAGCAGCUAAAACUGCACCCAGUGGCCACUCAGCAACAUUUGGAUGCUUCCAAUGUCCAGCUCAGGCUUGGUCCCUUUUACCAUUACAGCGGUCCCAACAAGAACACAGAUUUGUAAAGACUGCUGCUAUAGCUCUGACAUGAUUCUUACUGCACUUGGACUGCAAUUUGGACCACAGUUCAUAUGCGUGUCCAGAUUACUGGUGGCAGAUCCAAGCCAUUGGAACCCUUCAUGGAGAUGUGUAUCUGUGUGACUCACCGCAUAUGAACUUGGUUGGUCAAUUUCCUUAUCAUCACUGCAAAUUCAAGCUAAUGGAGUAAAGCAAUAGUAUCUCCAACAGUUAGCUCCAUG